rnacentral:lncRNA from 1 species
UUAGGCUUAGAGUCCGUGUUGUCAUCUUCAUCACUGUAUUCGAUCGUUCACCUUAGAGAUUUUUGGACACCGUUCUUGUUAGGCUUCAUUAGGUUUUUACUCACGUGUUUCUUUGAGCAUGCCUUUUUACCAAACUAAAUCUCCUCUGGAUAAGUGCUUUAUUCUACUUCUCAUUUUUUCUUACUUUCUCCUUUUCUUGAAGUUUCACAAUAAUAUUUUUUUUCUUUUCUUUUCUUUUCAUCUCAUCUGCACUUAUCUAGUUCUUACCGGUGUCCCAACCCUAAACUUAGGAUUUUUCACAGAUCAACAAUCUACAACACUUAUCUGAGGAAGGUAAGGGAGUGUUUGGGCUUACGGUUAUUUACAGUGGUUCAUAACAAACAAAAGGGGAAUAUGGAUCGAAUUGGGUAAACGAAGGGUAAUAUUGAACAGUUUCCUGGAAACAC